ACUUGCCCUGAUAUUGCGGGUCGUAGCGGCUCGUAUUGCAUGUGACUGCAUUUCUGUAUUGCACACAGUUCAGGUCGUUCACAGCUGUCGAGGUAAAACUUUUCAAGUGUGAGUUCAUUUGUACGACAAUACUCGCUAUUUUUCAACGAAGAUUUUUUUGUUGAAAAAAGAUGUCUGUGUUAAGAGUAACUGGUUGUGUUGUUGUCCUGGUCUAUCUCUUCAUUGGUGUUGAUAGUCAACUGCAGUGUUGGUGUACGGGAGUAUGCUCUGGAACAAACGACACAACAUGUUCAGCAGGACAGGUCUGCUUCACAGGAGAAAUCUAUAACACAAAUACAAAAAAAAUGAAGCGUGUCCAAGGUUGUAAAGAUCAUGGGAAUUGUUACGAAAAAAAGCACUGUG
rnacentral:misc_RNA from 1 species